CAGCCGCCACGGGAAUACGAAGGGGGCUAGCGUUGUUCGGAAUUACUGGGCGUAAAGCGCACGUAGGCGGACAUUUAAGUCAGGGGUGAAAUCCCGGGGCUCAACCCCGGAACUGCCUUUGAUACUGGGUGUCUAGAGUAUGGAAGAGGUGAGUGGAAUUCCGAGUGUAGAGGUGAAAUUCGUAGAUAUUCGGAGGAACACCAGUGGCGAAGGCGGCUCACUGGUCCAUUACUGACGCUGAGGUGCGACAGCGUGGGGAGCAAACAGGAUUAGAUACCCCGGUAGUCCCUGUCUCUUAUAC
rnacentral:rRNA from 1 species